GAUGAAGAACGUAGCGAAAUGCGAUACGUAAUGUGAAUUGCAGAAUUCAGUGAAUCAUCGAAUCUUUGAACGCAUAUUGCGCUCUCUGGUAUUCCGGAGAGCAUGCUUGUUUGAGUAUCAGUAAACACCUCAACUCCCUUUUCUUUUUUGAAAUGGGAGCUGGACUUGAGUGAUCCCAACACUUUUCUCACUGGAAAGUGGCGGGUCACUUAAAAUGCAGGUGCAGCUGGACUUUUCUCUGAGCUAUAAGCAUAUCUAUUUAGUCUGCCUAAAAAACAGAUUAUUACCUUUGCUGCAGCUAACAUAAAGGAGAUGAGUUCUUGUGUUGACUGAUGCAGGAUUCACAGAGACAGCUUUGCGGCUGACUUUGUAAACUCGAUCUCAAAUCAAGUAAGACUACCCGCUGAACUUAAGCAUAUCAAUAAGCGGAGGA
rnacentral:misc_RNA from 1 species